AGCGAACGCUGGCGGCAGGCCUAACACAUGCAAGUCGAACGGAUCCUUCGGGAUUAGUGGCGGACGGGUGAGUAACACGUGGGAACGUGCCCAUUGGUUCGGAAUAACUCAGGGAAACCUGAGCUAAUACCGAAUGUGCCCUUCGGGGGAAAGAUUUAUCGCCAUUGGAGCGGCCCGCGUCUGAUUAGCUAGUUGGUAGGGUAAAGGCCUACCAAGGCUACGAUCAGUAGCUGGUCGGAGAGGAUGAUCAGCCACACUGGGACUGAGACAAGGCACAGGCGCCUACGGAAGGCAGCAGUGGAGAUUCUUGCGCAAUGGGCGAAAGCCUGACGCAGCCAUGCCGCGUGAAUGAUGAAGGUCUUAGGAUUGUAAAAUUCUUUCACCGGGGACGAUAAUGACGGUACCCGGAGAAGAAGCCCCGGCUAACUUCGUGCCAGCCGCCGCCGUAAGAC
rnacentral:rRNA from 1 species